rnacentral:piRNA from 2 species
AUGAGAAAUGCGGAUAUGGGACUGAGACCA